ACAGCUGUCGAGUGGUGCUCGUAGAGGAAAACUAAAGUGUGCAGAGAACAGAACAGAGGCCAGUUGGAUAAAAAUCACGUUCAAGAUCAAGACGAAAUUCAUGCGCUGAUCAAGAUGGAUUCAGCAAAAAGCAAGCUGAGAUAUAUGCACAAGAACUGGAUCUGCAGGCUUCAGUCAUGUUUGGAUUUCAUUCCAUACAGCAGCUGACCAGUGAUCACAGAUUUGCAGCAUACGUGUGAAUCCUUUGAGCCAAUCAGCUGUGUCGGCAUGCUUGUGCAUGUGAGCAGGAGUGGCCAACAGUGCAGCCAUGCAGUCAGAAGGUGGCUCUCCUUUCACUACAGCUGCAGUCACAGCCUGCUGGACUUGUUGAAAUGCUGACGUGUGUAAAAUAAACAGCGAGGAACUCAA